CGUUGCUGGUGGAACAGAUUUGUGAGUCGGGCCAGGGCGGACGCAGGAAACCUAUCCGCCGAGAUGAAGUAAGUAAACCAGGCGUGUAUGCUUUAGGGUAACGUCUGUUUCGAGUGUUUACGCAAACCACAUUGCAGGUCUACCGGCGGUGGACUCCUUGGGGGCGCGAAGGGCCGAGUGCUCGCCCUACUCGGGCCUGCGAGUACAGUACCGGUGCGGCCUGCGCCUUUCUUGAGCAGUCAAUGCGAAAGCGACUCCCAGCAACCAAACACCUCAGCUGUGACUGAGGUGUCACAGCCAGGCGACACCUCAGCACCUCGGCAGCAACCACCAUCUGCAAGCACCGGCGUCACGGGCGGAAGGUGUACUGCCAGCCGGCCUCCAAGAGCUGCAUCAAGAGGCCGCUUGCUGCAGCAGGCUGUGGGGGACACCUCAAGAAGGGUAACCCUCGCAGCGGCAAGAAACGAGGUAGCCGAAAAAUUAUUGGAGGAGUCCCGCAAGCAAACUGCUGAGCUGCGGGUGCUCAACGACCAGGUCGGCAGGCUGGCCGACGCCAUGGAGCGGCAGGCCGACGCCCUGGAGCGGCAACUGAGGCCAAUAUCGGAGUUGGCCACAGUCCUGGCCUCAUUUAUAACAAAUUACACACCACAAGUUUAGUGUUUAUAUCUAACGAAUGUGUAUGUAUUAAAAGUUCUUAAAAAUACCAGCAUAUGUUUCAAGGUUUACUAGUAAUGUAGUGUGGCAAUGUCACAGGUGAAACUGCCCCAAAUUAUUUUUCAGCAAUUCUUGGAGCAAGUAACAUUGCGUGUUAGAGCAGUCUGGAGCAGACAUAAUUGUAUUUUGGAUCAAUUUGGGGCACAAAACAUUCAUUUUGAUGCAAUUUGGGGCAGGCCAAUGUCAAUUUUGGUGGAAUAAUGGAAUUUACAGGGCACUUCGAAAGCACAUAGGUACAUUAAAGACCAACACGAAAACAACAUUACAGUAUGUAAAGAGGCAGCAUUGUGCAUGUUUUUCUGCAUAAAGGCAAGAGCAUUUGUGGCACUAUGAUCUAACUGCACAUUCCCGUGCCAUAGCUGAUAACUGCAAUGUUAUUAAAUCAUGUGGCGCAAUCAACGCGGUCACACAGCUUCUAGUUCACGAUAUGUCACUGCAGACGCAGAGAGCCGUGACCAACUCCGGGCUGGUGAAACUUCUAGCAAUUCCAAUCUGUUUUUACCGCAAUAGCAAUUAUAUGGACACUGUAGGCGCAUUUCCGCCGUCGCUGUAGCCAUGAUGUUCCAGAUUAAUUCCAGGGGCGAUAACGACGUUGCCGUGUUCUGUAUGCUGUAAAGUAUGUGCGAGUGAAAGCGUGUGAGGAUGGGUCGACGAUGCCAUUUGACGAACUCAACAUUUAAUGAAGUACAUUCUAAUUACAACCUUCCAAGUGUACGUACAUGCGCCGGACACUAGCAGGAAGCGCUGAAAAGUCUGCUGUUGUGAGCGAAAAAAUUCAUGUGGGAGGCUCGUUGGCUAGGUGUGCAGCAUGUGAACAGCUGUUCCCCCCCUUUUUUUAUAUAGAAUUCCCUCCCUGUUCAUGGCACAAUCCUCUCAACAUUUUUGUUUUUGGCGCAGUAUGGAACAGGAAUUCGCCUUUCUGUCAAGAUGGUGCAAUUGACAAAGGAGUUCCAGCUUUGCAAUAAUGUUGUGAGGUACCAUGCACUUCCAGUGCUUUUCAAGUAUGGAUAGGCACCGCACAUCUUUGUUGUGCCAUUGGAGUAUAGAAAAAAGCCGAUUUUAAACUAAUUCUUGCACCCUCACUGCCAACACAACAUCACGUAUACUUCGUGUAGCUUACACAAAUGCAUGCCAAAGCUAUGAAUUACAUGGAUUAGUAGUUUACGUCCGAGCCGCUAACUGAUGUCACCAUUUCUUCCUACGCUCCUGCUGAAAGGAAAUACUAAUAAAGUGUUACGCACGCACACUUCUUUGCAGUACAAACGAGCAUAACUUGUCGGUUUAAGUAAACCGCUCCUCGAUGAUGGGACACAAAUGUGUGUCCGCCUCAGACAGAGGAAAAAUCUCGUCAUGUUAACGACUUCCAGCAUAAAUAAAUCUUGAUGUGUGUCACAAUGUAACACACGUAGGAAACACUAUGGAAGUAUUCAACAACAAACUAAAGGGAACAUGAUGAAUAUGGCCAAUCAUUCAAAGAGGUCAAAUUCUAUUAAAAGAAUUGUUGCACGACACCAUUUGAGCAAGCACAGUAACAGCACAGUCCACAUAGCAUGUCUUCCAGUGCAUACAGAACAACAAACUGUUGCCACAAAAGUUUGAGUGCGUUCCUUAACAGCUUAUGCUAUCGAAACCUAAGCUGCAUGUUAAAUA